UUUCAUUUUCAACAACUUCAACCUUCUUUGUUGAAGGUUUUCUAAAAGUUACAUGUUUAUGUCCUUCAGGUAACCAUUCAAGAACAUUAACUGAUUUGUUCAGAGGAGAUUUAGGGAACGUUCCCUAAUGGUUAUAGUAACCUGAUGGGACAUUUCGACUCAUUUCUACUUCUUUCAGAUUCAUUUAGUUGUCUACUUUUUCCAGUUUUUUGAAAAGAGCUUCUAGACAAAAGGAACUCUUUUAGAACUUUGCAAUGUAUUGAAAUUCAGUUAUUAUUACAAUAUUAAUGUGAGGACUUUUACCAUCACAAAGAGUACUUUGGAUGUCAUAUUAGGCAUGGUGUGAAAGAUACUUAUUUACUGCACUGUAAAAUGAGUAAAGCUUUGCGUAUUUUUAACUGUGCGGUCAAGCUGUCAUGUGGGUUGUGGACAAUAACUUCCCUAACCUCAAGAUGACAACCCACAAACUAAAGUGAUGGAAACUUUUUCUCCCAUUCCUCGUUCUGUCACCAGAUUCCGGGCCUCCGCCAUGUUUGUUUUCUUGUCUCCGACCCGUUAAUAUUAAUUUGGCUGCACGCGCGGUUGCGGUAUCUUAGCAACAGUCGCCCGGGAGCUCCAGACUGAAAGGAAAUCUGAACAGUGUGGCCUCAACUCAAAAGACUUGCUCUGUCCCCCACCAGCUGCUUUUCACUGCGGCCCGGAUGUUUCUGUCGCCAUUUUAGCAUUCCUUUAAAAAGAAAUGUGCUAGGGGGGCUUUCCUCGAGGGGUCUGGAUAUAAAGAGAUUCUGACUGACAGGGAAAACUGGAGAGUGGGGCGCCUAAACUUCCUAUAAAAAGUUAAAGACGAUGCAGCUGCGCCCCCUCUGGCCAUAUGUUGUUUAUUACGAGAUCGGUGCUCUGCAUUGAGCUAACCGGCCCUUACCUGACUGGGACCGAUGAACAACAACCAGGACGCUGCUUUCAGAGUGUGGACGUUCCGCGGCUGGACUCUACCGUGGGGUUUUCUUCCGUGGCAGAUUCACAGGCUGUCACGGG